rnacentral:rRNA from 1 species
UUGGCUCAGAAGCAGCCACCAUUUAAAGAGUGCGUAAUAGCUCACUGGUCGAGAGACCCUGCGCCGAAGAUUCCCGGGGCUAAAGUACGGAACCGAAGCUAUGGAUGCAUGCUUAGGCAUGCGUGGUAGAGGAGCGUUCCCGUCGGGUUGAAGUCGUCCUGUAAGGGACGGUGGACGGACGGGAAGUGAGAAUGUUGGCAUGAGUAGCGAAAAGAACGGUGAGAAUCCGUUCCACCGAAAACACAAGGAUUCCUGAGCAACGAUCGUCGUCUCAGGGUAAGUCGGGACCUAAUCCGAGGCAUGGAGCGUAGGAGAUGGACAUCCGGUUGAAAUUCCGGAACCGGCAGGAAUCGUCAAGAGCAACGGAGUGACACAGGAAGGCAGGCGCGCAUGAGAUUGGAAGUUCAUGUGCAAGCGUGCGACGCGCGGGACAGGCAAACCCGUCCCGCACAAGCGCCAGGCGUGACGCGGAGGGAACCGCAAGGGACCCGAAGGCGCCGGACCUACACUGUCGAGAAAAGCUUCUAGCAAGAGACCUGCCGCCCGUACCGUAAACCGACACAGGUGUGUGGGGAGAGAAUCCUAAGGUGCGCGGGAGAACCCUCGUUAAGGAACUCGGCAAAAUGUACCCGUAACUUCGGGAUAAGGGUAGCCAUCUGGUGUGAAGGGACUAGCUCCCGGAGCGCCGGAAGGCCGCAGAGAAGAGGCCCAAGCGACUGUUUACCAAAAACUUAGGUGCCUGCCAAAGCGAAAGCUGACGUAUAGGUGCUGACACCUGCCCAGUGCCGGAAGGUUAAGGAAGGAGGUCCGGGUUCGACCCAAAGCCUUCGACCGAAGCCCCGGUGAACGGCGGCCGUAACUAUAACGGUCCUAAGGUAGCGAAAUUCCUUGUCGGGUAAGUUCCGACCCGCACGAAAGGUGUAACGAUUUGGGCGCUGUCUCAACGAGGGACCCGGUGAAAUUGAAAUACCUGUGAAGAUGCAGGUUACCCGCGACUGGACAGAAAGACCCCAUGGAGCUUUACUGUAACCUGACAUUGGGUUCUGAUACUGCAUGCACAGGAUAGGUGGGAGGCACGGAAGCAUGCCCUUCGGGGUAUGCAGAGCCGCCGUUGGGAUACCACCCUUGCGAUAUCGGAAUUCUAACCGGAACGGUAACGACGUUCGGGACAGUGUCAGGCGGGCAGUUUGACUGGGGCGGUCGCCUCCCAAAGUGUAACGGAGGCGCCCAAAGGUUCCCUCAGCGCGGCCAGAAAUCGCGCGCAGAGUGCAAAGGCAGAAGGGAGCUUGACUGCGAGUCGGACAGGACGAGCAGGGACGAAAGUCGGGCUUAGUGAUCCGGUGGCAUCCAGGUGGAAGGGCCAUCGCUCAACGGAUAAAAGCUACCCUGGGGAUAACAGGCUGAUCUCCCCCAAGAGUCCACAUCGACGGGGAGGUUUGGCACCUCGAUGUCGGCUCAUCACAUCCUGGGGCUGUAUUCGGUCCCAAGGGUUCGGCUGUUCGCCGAUUAAAGUGGUACGCGAGCUGGGUUCAGAACGUCGUGAGACAGUUCGGUCCCUAUCCAUCGCGGGCGCAAGAGAUUUGAAGGGGGCUGCUCCUAGUACGAGAGGACCGGAGUGGACGAAUCAAUGGUGUACCAAUUAUGCCGCCAGGCGUAUCGUUGGGUAGCCACAUUCGGGAAGGAUAAACGCUGAAAGCAUCUAAGCGUGAAACCUGCCCUAAGAUGAGAUCUCUCACAGCAUAAGCUGGUAAGACCCCUUGAAGAUGACAAGGUUGAUAGGUCGGGAGUGUAAGUGCAGCAAUGCAUUGAGCGGACCGAUACUAAUAGGUCGAGGGCUUGAUUU